rnacentral:snRNA from 1 species
AUUGCUUCUCGGCCUUUUGGCUAAGAUCAAGUGUAGUAUCUGGCAUAUUUAGCAUUAAUAAUAAGUAAGUUUGUUAUUUUAGCCGACAAGUCCUGUAUUUUGCUUUUUAAGAUUCUUA